UGGGGGAUAUUGCACAAUGGGCGAAAGCCUGAUGCAGCGACGCCGCGUGGGGGAUGAAGGCUUUCGGGUUGUAAACCUCUUUCGCUAUCGAACAAGGCCCGCUUAGGGUGGGUUGAGGGUAGGUGGAGAAGAAGCGCCGGCUAACUACGUGCCAGCAGCCGCGGUAAUACGUAGGGCGCGAGCGUUGUCCGGAACUAUUGGGCGUAAAGGGCUUGUAGGCGGCUUGUUGCGCCUGCUGUGAAAACGCGGGGCUUAACUUCGCGCGUGCAGUGGGUACGGGCUGGCUUGAGUGUGAUAGGUGUGACUGGAAUUCCAGGUGUAGCGGUGGAAUGCGCAGAAAUCUGGAAGGACACCGAUGGCGAAGGCAGGUCACUGGGCCAUUACUGGCGCUGAGGAGCGAAAGCAUGGGUAGCGAACAGG
rnacentral:rRNA from 1 species